rnacentral:rRNA from 2 species
GGGACACGUGGUAUCCUGUCUGAAUAUGGGGGGACCAUCCUCCAAGGCUAAAUACUCCUGACUGACCGAUAGUGAACCAGUACCGUGAGGGAAAGGCGAAAAGAACCCCGGCGAGGGGAGUGAAAAAGAACCUGAAACCGUGUACGUACAAGCAGUGGGAGCACGCUUAGGCGUGUGACUGCGUACCUUUUGUAUAAUGGGUCAGCGACUUAUAUUCUGUAGCAAGGUUAACCGAAUAGGGGAGCCGAAGGGAAACCGAGUCUUAACUGGGCGUUAAGUUGCAGGGUAUAGACCCGAAACCCGGUGAUCUAGCCAUGGGCAGGUUGAAGGUUGGGUAACACUAACUGGAGGACCGAACCGACUAAUGUUGAAAAAUUAGCGGAUGACUUGUGGCUGGGGGUGAAAGGCCAAUCAAACCGGGAGAUAGCUGGUUCUCCCCGAAAGCUAUUUAGGUAGCGCCUCGUGAAUUCAUCUCCGGGGGUAGAGCACUGUUUCGGCAAGGGGGUCAUCCCGACUUACCAACCCGAUGCAAACUGCGAAUACCGGAGAAUGUUAUCACGGGAGACACACGGCGGGUGCUAACGUCCGUCGUGAAGAGGGAAACAACCCAGACCGCCAGCUAAGGUCCCAAAGUCAUGGUUAAGUGGGAAACGAUGUGGGAAGGCCCAGACAGCCAGGAUGUUGGCUUAGAAGCAGCCAUCAUUUAAAGAAAGCGUAAUAGCUCACUGGUCGAGUCGGCCUGCGCGGAAGAUGUAACGGGGCUAAACCAUGCACCGAAGCUGCGGCAGCGACGCUGAUGCGUUGUUGGGUAGGGGAGCGUUCUGUAAGCCUGUGAAGGUGUGCUGUGAGGCAUGCUGGAGGUAUCAGAAGUGCGAAUGCUGACAUAAGUAACGAUAAAGCGGGUGAAAAGCCCGCUCGCCGGAAGACCAAGGGUUCCUGUCCAACGUUAAUCGGGGCAGGGUGAGUCGACCCCUAAGGCGAGGCCGAAAGGCGUAGUCGAUGGGAAACAGGUUAAUAUUCCUGUACUUGGUGUUACUGCGAAGGGGGGACGGAGAAGGCUAUGUUGGCCGGGCGACGGUUGUCCCGGUUUAAGCGUGUAGGCUGGUUUUCCAGGCAAAUCCGGAAAAUCAAGGCUGAGGCGUGAUGACGAGGCACUACGGUGCUGAAGCAACAAAUGCCCUGCUUCCAGGAAAAGCCUCUAAGCAUCAGGUAACAUCAAAUCGUACCCCAAACCGACACAGGUGGUCAGGUAGAGAAUACCAAGGCGCUUGAGAGAACUCGGGUGAAGGAACUAGGCAAAAUGGUGCCGUAACUUCGGGAGAAGGCACGCUGAUAUGUAGGUGAAGUCCCUCGCGGAUGGAGCUGAAAUCAGUCGAAGAUACCAGCUGGCUGCAACUGUUUAUUAAAAACACAGCACUGUGCAAACACGAAAGUGGACGUAUACGGUGUGACGCCUGCCCGGUGC